rnacentral:rRNA from 1 species
ACCCGCUGAACUUAAGCAUAUCAAUAAGCGGAGGAAAAGAAACCAACAGGGAUUCCCUUAGUAACGGCGAGUGAACCGGGAAAAGCUCAAAUUUGAAAUCUGCCAACAGGCCGAGUUGUAAUUUGUAGAUGGCUACACUGCAUAAUAGUAGAUGCUCAAGUUCUUUGGAAAAAGACAUCAUGGAGGGUGACAAUCCCGUGAGGCAUGUUACUAGGAGCAUAUAGUGGGCUUUCUAAGAGUCGAGUUGUUUGGGAAUGCAGCUCAAAGUGCGUGGUGAAUACCAUGUAAAGCUAAAUAUGGACGAGAGACCGAUAGCGAACAAGUACUGUGAAGGAAAGAUGAAAAGCACUCCGAAAGGAGAGUGAAAUAGUACGUGAAAUUGUUAAAGUGGAAGGGCUUGAGAUCAGAAUUGGUAGUUUGGGUUCCACGUCCUCUUGGGGGCGUGUACUCCCUUUCCACCGGGCCAGCGGGAGUUUCGUCUCUUGGGUAAAAGCAGUGGAAUGUAGCAGCUUGUCUGUAUUAUAGCCUCUGUUCAUACAAGACGUCGAGACUUGUUUUUGUUGGCGNAANGAUCUCUNCCNCCCGUCUGAAACA